CCUACGGGUGGCAGCAGUGAGGAAUAUUGGUCAAUGGACGAGAGUCUGAACCAGCCAAGUAGCGUGAAGGAUGACUGCCCUAUGGGUUGUAAACUCUUUUUAUAUGGGAAUAAAACAGUGUAUGCAUAUCUUCUCGUUUCGACCAUAUGAAUCAAGAUCGGCGAACUUCGGUCCAGCAGCCGCGGUAAUACGGAGGAUCCGAGCGUUACCCGGAUUUAUUGGGUUUAAAGGGAGCGUAGGUGGAUUGUUAAGUCAGAUGUGAAAGUGUGGGGCUCAACCGUAAAAUUGCAGUUGAAACGGGCAGACGUGAGUACAGUAGAGGAGAGCGGAAUUCGAGGUGUAGCGGUGAAAUGCGUAGAUAUAACGAAGAACUCCAGUUGCGAAGGCAGCUCACUGGUCUGCAACUGACGCUGAUGCUCGAAAGUGUGGGUAUCAAACAGGAUUAGAUACCCGUGUAGUC
rnacentral:rRNA from 1 species